rnacentral:rRNA from 1 species
AUGUUUGAGCGGCACCACAACGUGUACUUUUGUUCUCCAGAUGGCCCUGAUGAUUAUAAUAAUGAGUACGACAAUGGGGGGUUAGUUAUUGACUUGAAUGGAAAAGUUGUUGGAAUGGUCAACGACCCUGAGAGAUUUGGGUCUUUUAUACCUUCUUCCAUUUUGCUCAAUUGUUUGGAUUCAUGGAAGAAAUAUCGGUACAUUGGUCGGCCUCAUCUUGGGAUGAGGUUUGAGGCCAUCAAGCUUCUAGAGCCUUCUCAUGUUGACAUGUUAUGUCGUAUGUAUAACAUUGAUGACGGUCUUGUUGUUAGAGAGGUGUCGAAAGGAUCUAAUGGUGAGAUAUGUGGAAUUCAAAAAGGUGAUCUUAUUGAAUGUAUUAAGGGAAAAUGCAUUUCUACCACAAUUCAGUUGGAAAAUCUGUUGAUGAGCAUAUGCAAAGGCCCUUCAGAUAGUAAAAAUGGCCGUAAUACUGAAGUUCAUAUUUCUGUUGGGUUAUUUCAAACACUCAAAAAAUGCCGAAGGACCGUAGAGUUGACUGCAACUGUAUCAGACCUUGGAGAAGUUAUUGCAAGAGGUACUAGAGUCUCUUGA